rnacentral:RNase_P_RNA from 1 species
UGAGUCGGUCAGACGGUCGCGUCGAUGCUGUGAUCCCGGUUUUCCGGGCAACUCACAUCGCCGAGGAACGUCCGGGCUUCACAGGGCAAGGUGAUGGUUAACAGCCAUCCGGGGCGACCCGCGGGACAGUGCCACAGAAAACAGACCGCCACGGUGAACCAGUCGGCUUCGGCCGGACAGGCGCCGCGGUAAGGGUGAAACGGUGGUGUAAGAGACCACCAGCACUCCAGGUGACUGGAGUGGCUAGGUAAACCCCACCUGAAGCAAGGUCAGACAGCAAGCGUUCGAGGGCGGCCCGCCCGAGCUUGCGGGUAGACCGCUAGAGGUGCUCGGCAACGAGUACCCGAGAUGGAUGACCGUCCGUCGCGAGCCGGCAACGGCACGCGACGACAGAACCCGGCGUACCGACCGACUCAUCC